CGUGAAGAGUGAUUGUGCGUCUCCUUUCAGUGUGGUCAUGAGCGCACGGAAAAGACCCGAAAGACCAACACUCGGGCCCACCCGCGCUGGCGCUGGCGCCGGCGCCGGUGCGCGAGCCAUUGGCGUCCGCGUCCAAGGUGCUGGAGUAGGAGCCCGAGAUGCUCCCAUGCCGCGCCGCGGACUUCCCGCUCUCAUCGCAACCCUCGUUCGCCGGGACCACGCGCCUGCUCGAGGCCCCCGGCAUCAAGGUCUGGGACCCCUGCCACGUCCUCCUUCGCCGACGUAGCCUCAGCAGCUGGGGAGGGCAGCCGAGUCCACCGCGGUGGAGCCGUGGAGGUCGUGGUGGUCAGCCACGGGAAGUGCAUGGCCGCGAUGCGCCCGUACUGCCAUGUCUCUGGAUAGAUUUUAGUCAUUCCUAGCUUCACUCUUUGUUAGUACUAACUCUCCAACUAAUUGCUCCGUACUGCUGCCGGUGUUGGUGCUUGAAGGGAUAACGCUUAAAUGCUCUCUACUGCUACCAAUGCUCUUGAUCUGGUCACCUCCCAGUGCCAAUCUGGUGCUACCCCCUCCACUUAGGCGAGCAGCCCAGCCACGAGUAGGAUUUAGGUAAAAAGGGUGGUAGGAGGGUAUUUUCCUUUUCCAUGCUUCAUUUUUGAGGCUUCAACUGUUCAGCAAUGCAUAAUUUGAUUUCUGUUACCUGUGCAGGUCAUAUAUGCAGCUUAUUCUGUCAACAAUUUGGCCAUUGUUUAUUUUCAUCAUGAUCAUUAAAUGAUACAACGGAUAUUGUUGCAUAGCACCUGAAUAUAAUUUUGUUUCUGCAGCUUACAUGAAGCUGCUGAUGGCAAGAAGACAAAUCUCAGUUUGUCCAGCACAACAGGGUCAUGCUGUCAAGAACGGGACCAUACUAUUGCCAUUGAGGAAAGGGAUAUAAGUGUUGCCUUUAGUUGGAGGAAAUUGGUUUGGCUUUGGUGUAAGGCAAUAGCCAUAUUUAUCUAUUGGAUGGUGUUUCUUUUACAUGAGUGUGGCACGUUAUUUCUCAAAUUCCCUUUCAUAGGAUGAAGAGGAUCAUAUCCCGUCUAUUUGGUCUUGGAAGCUCAUUUACAUCUGGCCACGGUGAGAAAAUUGGGAUGUUAGUAUUGAAUAUUUAGUAAUUUAGUUUCUGUUUCAGUUCCCCCAUCAAAACCAUUCUGUGACUUAAUACUUUCUUUUGGUUUAAAGAUAGUUUGAUAAACAAUAUGAAACACAUAAAGCUAGUUUGAUAUCAUCUUACUCUACCUAUCAACUUAGAAGUAAUCUUUGUGUUUAACACUUUCAUAUUAAAACUUAAGCUUAAUUAGUGACGGGCCAUAGGACGCACCAAUGACGUGCUAUUUUCUAGUGAGAU